GGAUGAGCCCGCGGCCUAUCAGCUUGUUGGUGGGGUAAUGGCCUACCAAGGCGACGACGGGUAGCCGGCCUGAGAGGGUGACCGGCCACACUGGGACUGAGACACGGCCCAGACUCCUACGGGAGGCAGCAGUGGGGAAUAUUGCACAAUGGGCGGAAGCCUGAUGCAGCGACGCCGCGUGGGGGAUGACGGUCUUCGGAUUGUAAACCCCUUUCAGUAGGGACGAAGCGCAAGUGACGGUACCUGCAGAAGAAGCACCGGCUAACUACGUGCCAGCAGCCGCGG
rnacentral:rRNA from 1 species